rnacentral:rRNA from 1 species
UACGUAGGGACCAAGCGUUGUUCGGAUUUACUGGGCGUAAAGGGCGCGUAGGCGGCGUGUUAAGUCACUUGUGAAAUCUCUAAGCUUAACUUAGAACGGUCAAGUGAUACUGAUGUGCUAGAGUGCAGAAGGGGCAACCGGAAUUCUUGGUGUAGCGGUGAAAUGCGUAGAUAUCAAGAGGAACACCUGAGGUGAAGACGGGUUGCUGGGCUGACACUGACGCUGAUGCGCGAAAGCUAGGGGAGCGAACGGG